ACUGAGCUUCUAAAAUGCAGAAUAAAUCUCACAGAGAGUAGGCUGGGGUGACAUCUGAAUGCCAACUGAAACUUCCCAAGUUUCCGAGUUUCUCUUUUGCUGUUAGUUUUAGAGGGAUUGCAGACCAAACAUCAGGCUGAUGAAAAAGCAAAUAGUUGACAACGCUGGCCAAACAGUCUCUGCUAAUCAUGCCAAAGCAAUAAAAGUACCAGAUAAUGGGAAUUGCUGAUAAAUACCUUGCACCUUUUUACUUAGUGCAAGUUUCUGCCUAAAUGACUGAGGAGGAGACAGCUACUGUGUUUUGUCGGAGUCACCUUUACAUAGAUUUCUAUCCAUUUAAAAACAACCUUACUGUAGCUGCCAUUCUCUACCAGCAUUGUUACCUCUUUCUGUGGCUCCCUUCUUUGUGCUCUUAAAAAGGCCGACAUCUGGCUAGUCUUUAAAGGAGAAAGCUACUGUGCUGGGACUUGUCUUUCAGCAAUAUCAUAGGUUAAACAAAUGCCUUCCAUUUAUUUCAGUUUACUUCAAUCCCACCACUCAUGCUACCAACAAUUGCUCUGGACUUCAUACUUUGGAACUUUCUUUCCACUACAGUUGAUAGCGUUUAUUACACUUUUCAGCUUGGACAUCUCAGAUGUUCUGAUAUUUUACAUUGGGUUUUUUGUUUUUGAUUUUGUUUUUUCAAAUCUUGCUCUAACCACGUAACCUGAUAAAAUGUUUCUCAAUGGUUCUAACCACUUUCUAGCAACUAAGAAUUUUAAUACUGUAAUUAUUACUAUGAAGGAUCCUGAGUUUUCCUUUACAGCCUUGAAUUUACAUGGUUAAGAUUUUAAUUUGACGAAAACAGAAAAAAAAUGUGCCUUUGCAACCAGUCA
rnacentral:lncRNA from 1 species